GGUUUCUUGAAUUAUUUAAGAAAUUUGACCUGCCCACUGAAAAGAGUUUAAAGGGCCGCAGUAUUUUGACUGUGCAAAGGUAGCAUAAUCAUUAGUCUUUUAAUUGAAGGCUGGAAUGAAUGGUUGGACGAGGUAAAUACUGUUUUAUAUUAAUUAGUUGAAUUUAGAUUUUAAGUAAAAAUACUUAAAUUUUAUUAAGGGACGAGAAGACCCUAUAGAGUUUAAUACAUUUAAUGAUUAAUUGAGUUAUAUUAGAAAUUUUUGAUUAUCAUAAUUUGUAUUUGAUUGGGGUGAUUAGAAAAUAAAAGUAACUUUUCUUUAUAUUUAAUAUUAUAAGUAGUUUAAUGAUCCAUAUUUAAUGAUUGAAAGAUUAAAUUACCUUAGGGAUAACAGCAUAAUUCUUUUUGAGAGUUCAUAUCGAAAAGAGAGAUUGUGACCUCGAUGUUGGAUUAAGAUUGGUUAUGGGUGUAGAUGUUCAAUAACUUGGUCUGUUCGACCUUUAAAAUCUUACA
rnacentral:rRNA from 1 species